rnacentral:rRNA from 1 species
GGACUAAUAUGUCGGUCGUACUUUGUACGUACUAGCAUUAUUGGUUUCUCCCUUCUGACGAACCACGAUGUCAUUAAUUUGGUGUCAUGGGAAAUCAGGACUGUUACUUUGAAAAAAUUAGAGUGUUUAAAGCAAGUUCGCGCUUGAAUACAUUAGCAUGGAAUAAUGAAAUAGGACGUUUGAUUCUAUUUUGUUGGUUUCUAGGAUCGACGUA